rnacentral:lncRNA from 1 species
ACUGGGAGGAGGAUAUAAAGCCUCGAACAGCAGAAGGAUCUGCCACUGUUUGCCACUGGCCCCAGCCUCUGGGCUCACUGUCCAGGCGUUCUUUUCUGCAGAGCUGACAGAAAGCAGCCAACCAGCAAGAGAAGGAUUCUAAGCAUGAUGGGGGACAGACUGUUGAGAAUGCGAAGUGAAUUCUACGGACUUGAUUCCCACUCUGUCCCUUCUGUGCUCUGUCAGCAAGUAGAGAUAUGGAACUCCUGGAAUUUGACACGUUGAUUCAUGUGUUCAGCUACUGCAACUCACUAGGAGCCCCGAGAAAGACAGAAAACCUUCCCUCCAGGGGUCCUGGCCGGGAGCAAAUGGAUCCCCCCUCCCCCUCCUGUAUCUGAAGAGGGCUUCCCUCGGAGAGUUUAUGGCAGCCUGACCUCCAGCCUCUGGGUUGGAGAAUCUGGCCGCUUCUGUACUACAUAAAAAGGGCA